UUUCCGUAGGUGAACCAGCGGAAGGAUCAUUCAUAUGCAGUGUUUUAUGGCACUUUUGUAAAUCCAUAUCCACUUGGUGUGCAAUGUCAGGGUUGAUUUUGCUAACGAGAUGAUCAGCCACAAACAUCAACUAUAUCUCAACUCUUUGUCUUAAAAAUAUUAUGAAUAAAAAAAUACAAAAUACAACUUUCAACAACGGAUCUCUUGGCUCUC
rnacentral:misc_RNA from 1 species